rnacentral:lncRNA from 1 species
GAAUAAUUGUGCUUAAUUGGUGUUUCACAUGCAAGUGUAAGAAAAAUUUAUUUAAAACUCAAACAUGACCGGUGGCGGAGACAGAAACUAAUAUGACUGAGGGCACAAUUUAAUGAUCACAAAAAUUUUCUUUGAGAAAUAAGUAUAUAGACACCAUAUAGCUUUCCAUAUUUGAAAGUGCAUCAAUUCAAUUCAGCACAAAAUGUAUAAAAAGGUUCAUAUAUCCAUCUACUACAAAAAAAUUGUUUCCGUCAACAAAAAACAACUAAAACCAGAAACAAUAGGGCAGAUGUACCUAUAGUUGUCCUCGACGAGGUGCCAUGUUUUGAAAUCGCUGAAUUAUAACUUCAUUGUCAAUGGCAUUGAACACAUCUUUCUCAAGGUACACUGUUAAGCUAUCAUUCAACCACUGAUCUCCCAUUCGAUUACGCAUUCGAUUCUUUAUGAUGUUCAUGGCAGAGAAUGCCCUUUCNNNNNNNNNNNNNNNNNNNNCAUGAGGCACAAUUGAUCAAAGUGAACUAACAUACAAAGUUGACUGCAGGCACAGGCCAACGCUGGCCCUGUAUUGGCUCCGCCCCUGGUUUUAGACAAAGAAAAUAAGGGUUUUAGGCUUGUUUCCUUAUUUUCUUUGUCUAAAACCCAGUUGAGACCAAUGUAUAGAGUUGGAGAGAAAUCAAGAUCAAUCUCAAUUCAAAAUAUUGGUGUUUGGAAUGGUUGCAUGGAGGGGUAUAUAUAUCAUACUUAUCAUGUUGUAAGUGCUAAAAGUUAAGUCCUUGAUACAACAAAAAAUUAACCGUAAACACAGCUAAUACAUAUAGGAUAAUUGAUAUAGCUAUUUCGUGAAUUGUGGCUUGAAUUAAAUUUGAUACAAGUGUGGGUUGGAAGUUCUCAAUUUGAAUAUUACUGUUUAAUUCUUGUCUGUUCAUUACUAUAUCACAUGCGAUCAUAAGUAAUACACACUCAUGUCACUGAUUAUUAACCACCAAAUAUAGAAAUGAUGUGUUGUACGUAUUUUUAGUGCAGUUAUAACUAACUAGCACUUCAAAAAACAAAACAAUUAUAGAUAAAUAAUAAAUGAACAAAAACUUUGGUAUUCGCCUAAAAAGUUUGAGCAAACUUUGUCACACUAUUGGGCCAUGAGCCAUCCUCGUUACAUAUCUAUCGUAUUGGGCUAUUGGCCCAUAAAAUCAAUACCUUUUAUCCCAUGCACUUCAAUAUUUUCAUAUUUUGGCACCCGAACAUCAUCGUUCGAUUACUCAUAAUUUCAUAACUUUUGCAUUCGUGUAUGAUGUGAAAUAGAAGUUUGAUGCAUGUUCUAAGUUGGGUUUUAACUUACGAGGGCUUGUCGAGAGUUUGCAACUGGCUUUAUUUGAUUAAUAAGCUGUUUUAUAUGUAACAAAUAAUGAGAAAUAGACAAGUAAAUUAGCCUAGUCUAUUAAUUAGUAGAAGCAUACCAAUAUUUGCUGUGAUCAAGUUGCGUAUGUUUUGUUAAGGUCCAUGGCUUAUACACUUGAUGGUGAUUAUUUUGUAUAUAUGCAAAUCUGUAAAACUCACUAUGGUGGCCAUGCCAUUUGACACUAAUAUUGCAUCAAAUUGUUUGUUUGUCGUCGAGAAGUUAUAUGCAAGGCUUUGAAGUUGGCACUGGUUUAUUAACCAAGGCAUUUGAGGGUUUAUUCAUUCGCUGAUUCCAUCUGAAUAAGAAUGUCCAAUAGAUUUGAUACUUGAUCGAUCAAAAACAUAAAAGGAGCUGAUCGACUAGCUUGUAAUCGUCAUUUCAAUAAAAUGUCCUCUGGCAUGGAUUUCUUUAUCUAAAUUGGCAUGUACCACUGUUAUAUGCAACCCGGCCUUUGCUAGUCGCUCUGCGUGUCCAAUUUGCUGCAUGCUGAAGAUUUCAGUCAUACAACCACAUACACAGACUAGUCAUGUUCAGGGGCGGAGCCAAUACAGGGCCAGCGUUGGCCUGUGCCUGCAGUCAACUUUGUAUGUUAGUUCACUUUGAUCAAUUGUGCCUCAUGUGAAAUUGAUAUUCUUAUAGUUUUACAUGUAUUAACUAAAUUAAAAGAAGUUAACAGCCCAUUACCCAAACCACUCAAACAAAAAAACAGCCCAUUACCCAUAUAUAUUUAUAAAGCCCAAGUGAUUUAAUAAAACCUAAAUUGAUAGUUAAAGAAUUUUUGGGGUUCUGUUCCUAUUCUUCUUAGAAGAAGUUGCUGUCGUCUUUGUUCUCCCUCCCUGCCCUCUUGAAUUUCUUUGGUCUGGUCAUGGACUGAUGGAGACNNNN